CCACUAAAUUAAGCUAUUGCAUUAGAUCUUUUUUAGAUUGCCUGGGUUCCCUUUUUCUUCAGUCAAUUAUACAUACCUGCGGUCUUGAUGACUUCAGUGACUUGCUCUCCUUUAGAAAAGAAAAAGAUAAUAUGCUAUUGCAUUUUCAAGUCUUUAGAGAUCAUGACUGCCUCAGAUUCUUCUUCUAAAUUCCAAGAUCAAUGAACAAAAUAAUUCUAGUCAUGUAUUUUAUGUACAAUGUUACCAUGGUAGCGAAAUUAUUGAUUGCCUUUCAAAUAGUUAUGAUAUUGCAGUGAAUAUAUAUGGGCUAAUUAUCCUGAAAAAAUGAACCUUUGAGCUGGACUGCAUGACCCCCCUUUCAAGUACUUACCAGUGAUUGUUGGUCUCCUGCAGGAUGCUGAUAAG
rnacentral:lncRNA from 1 species